rnacentral:rRNA from 1 species
GACGAACGCUGGCGGCGUGCUUAACACAUGCAAGUCGAACGGAAAGGCCCUGCUUUUGUGGGGUGCUCGAGUGGCGAACGGGUGAGUAACACGUGAGUAACCUGCCCUUGACUUUGGGAUAACUUCAGGAAACUGGGGCUAAUACCGGAUAGGAGCUCCUGCUGCAUGGUGGGGGUUGGAAAGUUUCGGCGGUUGGGGAUGGACUCGCGGCUUAUCAGCUUGUUGGUGGGGUAGUGGCUUACCAAGGCUUUGACGGGUCGCCGGCCUGAGAGGGUGACCGGCCACAUUGGGACUGACGUACGGCCCGGACGCCUACGGCGGGCAGCAGUGGGGAAUACUGCACAAUGGGCCGGAUCCUGAUGCGGCAACGCCGCGGGCGGGAUGACGGCCUUCGGGUUGUAAACCGCUUCCGCCUGUGACGAAGCGUGAGUGACGGUAAUCUGUAAAGAAGCACCGGCUAACUACGUG